UCAGCCCUUGGCAGGCCCAGGUCAUUCCCUGGGGCAGAGGCUUGUGCAUGGGUCUUCCAGGGUCUGUUUUGUGGCAGACUUUGGGGGGGGGUGCAGUUGUCUUUGUUAUGAGGUGUUUGUUCACCAAAUGUGACCCGUCCCCUUGCUAAGAAUAACCAACCCAGUCUGUUUUCCUUCCAUCUACGAUCGGGCAGUGGGCUCAUCCCCGGCCCUGCCGGGGCGCUAAGCAAGGUGAUCCCUGGAGUCUGAAGGGUCCAGAGCGCUAAUGAAUGCUCUUGUAGUUCAAGCACUUGACUGGGCCUCAGGAGAUCAAUUCCCAGCACUGCCACAGAUUCACCAAGUGAAUUUGGGAAAGAGACCAAACUUUGCUGUCCCUGCCAUGCUGGGAGUGCUGACUGCUCUGAUUACACCGAAUCUAGUACGUUUCAUCGGAUUUCCACUAAUCACCUGAGGUGCAGAGGGUGGGAGGCUACAAAAGGACCCUGCUGAGCUGGUAUUAACAGGAUUUCAGCCUGUCUGGUGGUGUUCAGCCUGGAGUUCUGAUAACUACGGAACUGCAAACUGGUCUAAGUGAAAGUCCCCAUGUAGACAAACACCAAGUCUCAGGUCUCCUUUUUGCAGAACCGGACAGCGGACAACGUUUGUGCCGAGGUGGCUUGAGAACCAGUAGGACUUAAAAGCCUAGCGAAAAAAGAAAGGAUGCGGUUGCUCGGAAGCAUCACAGCAAUGGUGAAAGUUGGAACCAAGAGAGAGACCAGGACCCUGAAGAAUGGGAGUGUGGCAGAGCUGCAUGGCUCUUUGCAAACUGAUGAGUCCCUGCCCACAAAGGCGCACACACGACGAGUUUGCUGUUCUAAUUCCAGAUGGGCAAAGCCAAGGGCCAGGUUGGCAAGGGCGCUAUUUACUGCGUAUAAAAUGGAGCAAGUGCUGUCUCCUUUGAUACCAGUAGGGCGAUGCUGGCCAUGGAGAUUGCAGGUUCCAGCA